rnacentral:rRNA from 2 species
UCGAUCUCAAAUCAAGUAAGACUACCCGCUGAACUUAAGCAUAUCA